ACAGUGUUCAUCCCGCGACUACAGAGAAAUCGCUCAAAAUCUACCGAUCACUGUGAGUCACCGACGCCAUUGGAAGUAUUUGAUUCCAGUUUAUUUCUUUUUCUCGCCACUGCUCGGAUCUCUCCACUUCCCUAGUGGCAUACAAUGGAAUGAACUAUGGACCAAAUGGAGUUGGAGCGAAGUAUCAGAAAAAUCGGGUUCAGAACAAGGUCUACUAUGAUCUUCACACAUUUUGACUAAACUUUUUUCUAGUCGUGUUGCAGCCAAAAUGUUGGUUUGGAAUUUUUAUGCUUAAAUAAAUGCCUUGUUGGUAUAUAUGGUCUCUGAACUUAAUUACAAAAUAUUAUUGUCAUUUACGAAGAGGUAGGAAAAAUGUGGCUCUAAAGACGUCUCUUUUCACCACUGAUAAAAAUUUCCUAUAACAGGGUUUUGAGACUAGCCUUUUUGGUUUUCAUUCCAUCUUUAAGUCGUAGUCGUUAAUAUAAUUUUAUAAAUUGCUAGCUAUCAUUCUUAUAAAUUUUAUGGUCUCAUUAUUUUCACAAAUGGACCUUUUGUUUAUGAUAGUGACUAAAGAAUAUUAAUUCCCAUUGCCACCAUUUAUCUAGUCUAGUUUCUCUAUAAAUUGAUCUAUGAUGUCUUGUGGCUAACCUUCGGCUAUGGUUUUGAGUCACAUUGUCAUGGUUUUUAUUUUUCUUUUUAGUUGCCGUUAGUUAAAUAACGUAGAUGCAUAUUCUUCCAUUACUUGAAAUUGGAUUGGUUCAUGAAGUCUAAGCUGCACAAGUAGUGGAGUCAAAAGCACAAGUGGCCAUGACUUGGGACUACUCAGUCUCACAGACUAAAAUAAAGCAUGUCGUAUGUAGCAAUCCGGUAUUCGCUGACCAUGUUACAAGGUACAAAUCUGAUCCAAAUGCUUGCUUGCCAACAGAAGAUCACCAUGAUUGUGGGAUGUCUUCAAUAUGGGUCGAAUAUUUUGUACUAUUUUAAUAAGUUAUUUUUGGAGUAGUAAUAGAUACUUUUGGUAUAUUGAUAUCGACUUUUUGACUAGGUUAAUGAUGUUUUUAGUAAUCAUUUAGAUUAACUCUACAUUUUGGAAUAUUAUAUUUGAUUGCACUUAAUAUUUUUAUUCAUUGAAAACAUG